ACUUGUGUGGGGAACUCUUCGCUUUUGGCCUAACCAAAACCAGACCUGCCUAGCCCUUAAAGUCCAGCCGGUUAGGUCGAGUAAAAUGCGUUGGGCUCCCUCAGUAUCAGAACUUGUGUGGGGAACUCUUUGCUUUUGGCCUAACCAAAACCAGACCUGCCUAGCCCUUAGAGUCCAGCCGGUUAGGUCGAGUAAAAUGCGUUGGGCUCCCUCAGUAUCAGAACUUGUGUGGGGAACUCUUUGCUUUUGGCCUAACCAAAACCAAACCUGCCUAGCCCUUAGAGUCCAGCCGGUUAGGUCGAGUAAAAUGCGUUGGGCUCCCUCAGUAUCAGAACUUGUGUGGGGAACACUUAGCUUUUGGCCUAACCAAAACCAGACCUGCCUAGCCCUUAGAGUCCAGCUGGUUAGGUCAAGUAGAAUGCAUGCAAUUCUUGUGGAAUGUUCUUAAAAAAAAUUAAAUAUGUUGAAAAUGCGUACUUUAAUAGCUUAGAAAUGAGUAAAAUGUAUGCAAUCUAUUAUAUGAAUAUUGUGAACACUGUACAUACUUAAUAAUAUGUGCUGCUGAAAACAUGACCUAACUAAAACCAGACUUGCCUAGCCCUUAGAGUACAGCCAGUUAGGUCAAGUAGAAUGCGUUGAGUUCCCUCAGUAUCAGAACUUGUGUGGGGAACUCUUCACUCUUGGCCUAACCAAAACCAGACCUGCCUUGCCCUUAGAGUUCAGCCGGUUAGGUCAAGUAGAAUGCGUUGGGCUCCCUCAGUAUCAGAACUUGUGUGGGGAACUCUUUGCUUUUGGCCUAACCAAAACCAGACCUGCCUAGCCCUUAGAGUCCAGCCGGUUAGGUCGAGUAAAAUGCGUUGGGCUCCCUCAGUAUCAGAACUUGUGUGGGGAACACUUCGCUUUUGGCCUAACCAAAACCAGACCUGCCUAGCCCUUAGAGUCCAGCCGGUUAGGUCGAGUAAAAUGCGUUGGGCUCCCUCAGUAUCAGAACUUGUGUGGGGAACACUUCGCUUUUGGCCUAACCAAAACCAGAUCUGCCUAGCCCUUAGAGUCCAGCCGGUUAGGUCGAGUAAAAUGCGUUGGGCUCCCUCAGUAUCAGAACUUGUGUGGGGAACACUUCGCUUUUGGCCUAACCAAAACCAGACCUGCCUAGCCCUUAGAGUCCAGCCGGUUAGGUCGAGUAAAAUGCGUUGGGCUCCCUCAGUAUCAGAACUUGUGUGGGGAACUCUUUGCUUUUGGCCUAACCAAAACCAGACCUGCCUAGCCCUUAGAGUCCAGCCGGUUAGGUCGAGUAAAAUGCGUUGGGCUCCCUCAGUAUCAGAACUUGUGUGGGGAACACUUCGCUUUUGGCCUAACCAAAACCAGACCUGCCUAGCCCUUAGAGUCCAGCCGGUUAGGUCGAGUAAAAUGCGUUGGGCUCCCUCAGUAUCAGAACUUGUGUGGGGAACUCUUUGCUUUUGGCCUAACCAAAACCAGACCUGCCUAGCCCUUAGAGUCCAGCCGGUUAGGUCGAGUAAAAUGCGUUGGGCUCCCUCAGUAUCAGAACUUGUGUGGGGAACACUUCGCUUUUGGCCUAACCAAAACCAGA